CUUUAAGUUUUACCUUUGCAACUAUACUCCACCCUGUACCCCAAAGACUUUGGCCUCUCCGAAGCUGCCUCAAGGAUCAUGGGAAUAAUACCUCCACAUUGCCAGUAGGCAUCACUUAUGGUUGGAGUAGAAACUAUCUGAUUGUCUUCAAGCUUCGAAGUCUUGAUAGCUACUUUGUAAACCAGAAGGACACCAGGGAAAAGUCCAAACCCAGCUGCCACCCUGGCUAUCUAGUUGGGUUCUGCAGAAUACUAAAGUGGUAAGUG
rnacentral:lncRNA from 1 species